CCAGCAGCUGCGGUAAUUCCAGCUCCAAUAGCGUAUAUUAAAGUUGUUGCAGUUAAAAAGCUCGUAGUUGGAUUUCUGUACUACAGUAUUGGCCCGUUCCUCACGGGAUGUGUGUCGAUAUUUGUUGUACAUCUUUUUUAGAGAACUCUUCUAUCCUUCACUGGACGGAAGUUGGGAUCUAAAUCUUUUACUUUGAAAAAAUUAGAGUGUUCAAAGCAGGCUUAUGCCGUGAAUACAUUAGCAUGGAAUAAUAAGAUAGGACUUUGGUUCUAUUUUGUUGGCUUCUAGGACUGAAGUAAUGAUUGAUAGGGAUAGUUGGGGGUGCUCGUAUUCAGUGGCCAGAGGUGAAA
rnacentral:rRNA from 1 species